rnacentral:rRNA from 1 species
GACGAACGCUGGCGGCGUGCUUAACACAUGCAAGUCGAACGAAAAUACCAAGCUUGCUUGGUUGAUUAGUGGCGAACGGGUGAGUAACACGUGAGUAACCUGCCCCUUACUUUCCUGGAUAACUGCUCGAAAGGGUAGCUAAUACGGGAUAUUCUGACCAGCCUGCAUGGGUUGGUUUGGAAAGGUUGUUUUUCUGGUAAGGGAUGGGCUCGCGGCCUAUCAGCUUGUUGGUGGGGUGAUGGCCUACCAAGGCUUUGACGGGUAGCCGGCCUGAGAGGGUGGACGGUCACACUGGGACUGAGAUACGGCCCAGACUCCUACGGGAGGCAGCAGUAGGGAAUAUUGCACAAUGGGCGCAAGCCUGAUGCAGCGACGCCGCGUGAGGGAUGAAGGCCUUCGGGUUGUAAACCUCUUUCGUCAGGGAACAAGGCACUGCUUUUUUGGUGGUGUUGAGGGUACCUGGAUAAGAAGCGCCGGCUAACUACGUG